UUCGCCUUCAUGAAGCUGGAAUUGCUAGUAAUGGCAGGUCAGCAUACUGCCGUGAAUACGUUCCCGGGCCUUGUACACACCGCCCGUCACACCAUGGGAGUCGGAAAUGCCCGAAGUCAGUGACCUAACCUUUAAGGGAGGAGCUGCCGAAGGUGGAGCCGGUAACUGGGGUGAAGUCGUAACAAGGUACC
rnacentral:rRNA from 1 species